rnacentral:rRNA from 1 species
AUUGAACGCUGGCGGCAGGCCUAACACAUGCAAGUCGAGCGAGCGGCGGACGGGUGAGUAAUGUCUGGGAAACUGCCUGAUGGAGGGGGAUAACUACUGGAAACGGUAGCUAAUACCGCAUACCAUCAGAUGUGCCCAGAUGGGAUUAGCUAGUAGGUGGGGUAAUGGCUCACCUAGGCGACGAUCCCUAGCUGGUCUGAGAGGAUGACCAGCCACGCGGGCACUGAGACAGGGGGCAUACUCCUACGGGGGACAGCAGUGGGGAAGAGUGGACAGUGGGAGCAAGCCUGAUGCAGCCGUGCCGAGUGGGUGAAGGAGGCCGUCGGGUUGUAAAGGACUGUCAGCGGGGAGGCGUAACCCGCAGAAGAGGCACCUGCUAACUCCGUGCCAGCAGCCGCGGUAAUAC